AUUUUUCAUGCAGAGCUAAUGUUUAUGAACUUAAGCUCCUGAUCACAUCAGUUUACUGCAGAAAACUACCUUCCAAAAGCCUUACUUGAAAUCAAGAGCGUCGACGUGUUUUAAUUAUAAUUCUCGCUUCUGCAAUUGUUUGGGUUCGUCCCUUUUCCUCAAACUACUGUAGGAAUGAGGGGUUGAUAAGAAAUCAAGCAAUGUUGCCUCGGAGCCAAACUCAAAGCGUGUGUCACCAAAGGCUUCAAGUGACCAUCCUGAUGAUGAAAGAGGGACUGACAAGAGGAAUGGUUUGAAGGCAAGGAACAAUGUGUGGCAAUAUCAACUGCUGCAAAUAUGUGCAAGAAACUUCCUUCAGACAAUCCCAUUAUUGACAAUCUUCUGCAAUAUAAUGGUGUGUAGAACUAUGGAAUCCAUUAUGCUUAUGAUUUAAGUUAUGUUUUGCAAUACCAUGAUAUAUAGAACUAUCGAAUCCUGUAACUACAGACCUUAAAAUUUGAUACCUUUGAGUA